UAUAAGAUGAAUCUGCACAAGCAGCAGGCAUAGCACCAAAAGGAGUCAUUUUUUUGUUUAAGAUGGUGUUAUGCAGACUAACUUACACUUACUUCAACUAAUUCUUCAGAUAGUCUGUGUUUGCCUACAAAAGCAAGUGCAGAGUAGCAACAGCAAGAGAGCUGCCCACAAACGCAGGGGAGGGGUAAUAACAGAAAAGAGAGCUCAGAUACAACUCUCAAAUCAAUGUCAUCAGCAUCAAUAUGUGAUCCUGGUUAUUCGUCUGAGGAGGUAAUAUGCUAAAUAACAUCUUAGCAUAAAAAUUAUCGAAUAACAUUUAGCUACAUUAGUUGCUGGUAACACAUCUAACUGAAGAGAAAAAUGCAGAUUCAUAUAUCUGGAAAUGGAGACAGAUUAUCUAGCAGGUUGAACCCGUUGCUUUCAACUCAAAACAUCUGUACAUAUUCCAAGAUAUUUUAUAUAUGUAUAUGUGCUCUCACACGUUUAUAUGAUAACACACGCAUAUAAGAUAUUCUAAAUCUUGAGGUGAAAAUUCCUAUAUAGUCUAUUCUGUCAGAUUAAUUGGUUCUUCUUUUGUCAACCAAAAUAAUUAUCAAAUAACUAAUAACUAUAUAGAACCGACUGCAAAAUGAAAUGUGAGUUAAUAUUUGUUGAAGAAACAGCAUCAUCUUUCUUUUGUACCUUGUAUAUAUGGCGCAUUGUGUUUCAUAUAUGCCUGUGUGUGUUUCCCGUGUUCUUUUUGUUGUAAUAUUGAAACUGUUUUGUCAGAAACAUAAUUUCAUAGCAUCAGUGAUGAAUGGGGAAGGCUGUGGGUCCAAACAUGCGUGCUGUUCAUAUUCCUCAAAAACUAAUAUUCUUUUAUCCUGCAAGAAAGCAGAUUACAGUUUCUAUCUCAUUAUUGUAGGGCAUGGAGUUGAAUCGGCAGCACCUGUUUCCCAAGGCUUUGCCCAAGCAUCUACCAUGUCCUGGCCAAUCAGUAAUGUGAGAAAGCACGGGAGAAAAAUAUAUAAUUGAUGUAUAAACAUGAUACAAUGAGCCUUAUUUAUAGUACACAUAACCUAACCUACUCCUAAUACACUUUGGGUUAGAGUUCUACUAUAUUUACA
rnacentral:lncRNA from 1 species